GGGGAAAGGGUUUAUUUAGCUUACAGUUCAUAGAGGUUUCAGUCUACAAUCAGCCGAUUCCAAGGCAGGGACGACAAACAAGGCAUGGCAGAGCAGAAGCAACAUGGCACACACAAGGCAGAAAUGAUAACAAGAGAGUUAACAGCAUUUUCCUGCCCCUUUUAUUCAGACUACUGAGGGCGGGUAGCACUCACACUCUUGAUCCUAGUGCCCUUCAGCCUAGGAUUGCAUCAUGAAUCAAUUUCAGCUUCACACACUCUAGAUCAAGCCUAUGGCCACAUGAGGCUUUGAGGGGACAUCUAGACCCAAACCAUAACACAGGCGUUCUCAGAAGCCUGCUUGUCCAGGUUGUGUGGCUUCUUCUGAUUGGCCUUCUGUCCAUCUCUACAUUCAGCGGACCAAUGACGUGCCACCAGGCAGUGGCAAAGAAACUUCCUUUCCUACAGUCUGCUGGAAGCAACCACAUCAGGAAGAGUAAAUGCCUUCUCCGUAUCCUCAGCAGGAAGUCGGGACAGAGUUCCGUCCUGUGCUAUAGGUGGAGGCUGCACUUGUGAACGUGACCUCUUCCACAUGCUCAGAAUUCUUCCUAUGAAGCUCCAAGAGGGGACUGGACAGAUGUUUUCCUUAAUUGUCACUGGUUAAGAAAAUCUGUGGAAUGCACAACCUCUAGAGUUUUUGUUUGUUCAGCUUUUUAUCUUGUUUUAGGUAAACAACAUGAAUUCAGUGGUGUUUUCUGUAGCCCCACAAAGCUUGAGGUCAAAUUAUGUUGCUUUAGAAACAAAAAUUAGGGCCGGGGAUUUAGCUCAGUGGUUUCGCUGCCUGCUGUGCAGGCGCAAGGACCCGAGUUCAAUCCCCGGUACCAAAAAAACAAAACAAAAAGAAACAAAAAUUAUUUCUAAACCUGUAGCACUAAACCUGAUACGACCCUGCUGUUUCAUAUCCUGAGAGACUGAGUUGAGGGGCAGGGUUCAGUCCAAGCCUGGGCCGAGGUCUGCUGCAAUCUGCUAGGCAACUAUAUUUUUGAGGAGGGAAUGGAUAACAACAAAUUGUUCGGGGCCUCAUACUCGGGCGCUGUUGCUAAGGAAACAAGUCUCUGGAGGCCACUCAGGCCGUUUGCUUCCAAGAGAUCUCCACAUUCAGACGCGUUCCUCGGCCUUUGUGGAUCCCGAGGAGGUCCAUAACACCAGACAGCUGAUGCUUGUUCUGAGAAAGGGAAGAACUUUUCUUACACAGCUGAAGACUCAAGUAGGUUACUAGAGCUGACAGUGGAAAGCAGAAAGCAAGAGGCUGUGAUCUUUCAAUAAAUCUAAUUCUGCGAGUGUGCAGCAGGGAGAGACUGCUAAGCAAGCAGUGCAGGGCCCGAGAUGAAGACUUCCGUGAAGCGCUUGGAAGACAGCCCCCGAGCAGGGUGGCAUGUGCCACGUGGCCUUUUACGACUAACUCAGCGAUGGGGGUGAUAAGCGUUCACGAAGCAGAGCGAAAGUGAGGGCCGGAGUGACCCAGGGAAAUGGCUGAUCUGGGGACACAGCAGGGCUGGGGACGGGGGAGCCCGGGGGAGGACGGGGGCACAGGGCAGGAAGCAAGGCUCCAGCGCUUGAGAAAUCCAAACCCAACACAGGAAGGGGAACAGCCUCCAUAAACAUUUGUGGAAACCUCAAAGAGCGAUUUUAAAAACGAAAAGAAAGUGGUUAAAAUUCUCAGAGAAUCAUGCGGAGUAAUGUGGUACAUGCUUAAGUUACCCGAAUGAAUCUAAAUUUAACCAACUAUUUUUGAAGUGCAGAUGGGAAAAACCAGAAUUGAGGGAGAUAAACCAUUCAGAAUCAUCCCAAGGCACAUGGACCUACGAAGCACUAGCUCUUACCUAAAUUAGUUUUAAAUGCUUGUGUUUUUAAAAGAGAAAAAUAAAAAUAACAAGCAUACUAGGAACAAAGAUGAAGGAGGAAGAAAAAGGUAGUGGAAGCUUCCACAUGCAGGAGGCCGAGGAGCAGCCCAUGGGAAGCCAACCCGAAUUCGAGGAUGCUCCCUGCAGUGGGGAUGAGGAGAGAGGAACCAGAAACACCCUCAGGGGAGAGGAGAGAGAAGGAGAGGAAUCGCAGACCUCCGGCCAGACAGAUGCAGCGUGGGAAUCUGCGACCCGGCCAGGAGUGUGCCGGGACCUUAGACCCUGGCAGAUGUGCCCAGCUCUGCUCUUCUGAGACAAGUUGUGCUCGGUGAAGCUGCUGGGAAGGGAUCUGGGAAGACUUCGGCCACAAAUAACCCUCAAAGCCAGCUCUUCCCAGCGAAUUCCACGUAGGUCUCCUGAAGGAAAAUGACACCGAAAACUGCAGCUACAUAACGCAGGGAAAGACCAGUGGAGCCUGACAUGGGGUAGAGGCCUUCCCUGGGGACCCUUCUCAAGUGUCCCCUCAGGUAUUCGCUGUUGACAGAGUGACUCCCACCCGGGGAGCAAAGAGACCCUUGUUCAUGCUCACAUGCCCAGCACCUGAGGAGGCCUAGCACAGAGAAGCAGCUCAAUACAAACUCCCUGCAUGGAGGAAGGGAAGAAUUACAGCCAUAAAGGAAAGGAUUGGCCUUUAACAUUGUGAAAACAUGGAGGUGAAAGUUGCUUCUGAAAGAAACUGUGGGCUGUGGCUGUAGCUCCGUAGUAGCCUGUUUGCCUAGCAUGACCCAAGGCCCAGGGUUCAAUCCCCAGCACCACAAAAAUAAAUAAAAGAUUAAACCUCAAAACUGCAGUCCAGGCCUGAAAUUGAAUAUGGUUAUAUACUUGGGGGUUUUUUUAUUAGCCAGCUGAGAUUAUUUUCUAUUUUUAGGUUAAAAAUUUAGCCUUCUUUCCCUACAACUAGCUGUUCUGAAGUCAGGAAACGAAGCCAACUUAAAUACUGGCUGGAUCAAAACAACUCAAAGACAGGUGCUCACCAAAGAAAAAGCAAAUAAGUUCACAUUUAGAACCAAACAAGAAAAACAAUUCAGGAUUGCCUGUGUUAUUCUUUUAUGUGUUUUAUGUUAGGAAUAGGAAGAUAGUCUUGUCAUGGAGAUAAAGUUAAUUCCCAAGUUAGAUUCAAGGUAGAAGAGUUUACUAAAACCUUUUUCUAAUGUCUUCUCCACCAAACCUUCCAUCAUGCCACUUCCCCCAAAUAUCACAGUUACGUUCAAAUUAAACAAAAGGAUUUUUCCAAAGUCAAUUAAGAAUAUAUUUUAGAAAUUCAAGAUGGAGAGGCAGCCAGCACUCACCUGCGUUUCCACAAGGAAUCAGCGAAGUAACAGGUGCAGAGCAGCCUGUGAGGUGAGCAGGUGAGAGGGAAUGCUGGCUGUUAGCAGGAGAGCUUGUCAAUUCAGAGACCUGGGACAACAGCAUAGUAAGAGAAACAAAACUCUCAGUGCCUGCCAUCUGCUCCACAGCUGGGGAGAAGGAUUCCCUCCACCGUGCAGUUCAGGGUGAGGAAGGAUCCCAGCAAACUCUCAGGGUGGACGCCGGCAAUCCUGGCUACUGGAAAGUUCACAUUCUCACAGCCCCGCAGCCCACCUAGUACUGGAGAUUGAACCUACCCAGCGCUAGGCAGGCUCUGUGCCACUGAGCUACAUCCCUGACCCCUGCAACACACCCAUAUUUUAAAAAAUGGGCACAGGACUUGAACAGACAUUACUCCAAGUGGCAGACCACAAACAAUAAAGACUUCCAAGUCUCCUUGGAUCCGUGUAACAGAAAAUUGUUCGAUGUGGUGGGCAGAAGGCCCGGAAGCUGUGGCUGGCCUGGGAGAGUGACUGGCCCGAGCUUCCCCUCCCGACCACCCUGCAGAAGAGAAGUCACCGUCCCUGCAUGGCAGAGCUGUGUUACUACCAAACACAAGUGCGAGGAAGGCUUUUUCUCUGCCAGGGUAACUGCACGGAGCCUUCACUUCUCCCUGCCGUGGACAGCCAGCCGGCCAGGCUCCUCGGAGCUCUCAGUUCGGCCUUGACCUUGGCCCCUGUCCUCGCUAACCGGGUGUGACCCAAGUUUUAGCAAGAAUCUGAUCGAGCUCCAUCUCUCCCCUGUUGUGAUGCUCCUAUUCCAAGAGCCCCAAAUAAAGUCAUCGUUAUUUAACAAGUGUCAAAUUAAUUUUUGAAUACAUUUCAGCAGGAAGCUUAGAGGUUUUAAAAUUUUUUUAGCAUUGCAGAAGCAACAGUUGGGGGAGUGGGUCAUAGUUACUGGCAUAGUAGCCAAUAAUCUAGCCAACCAUUGAACUGUGUUCUGGUAAAU
rnacentral:lncRNA from 1 species